rnacentral:lncRNA from 1 species
GAAUACAACAUCCCAUAACACACUGAAUCCUGCUGACCACCUUAUUAGUGACUGUGUUAGUCUGCUUGGGCUGUGUAACAAUAGAUGGGGUGCCUUAAACACCUGAAAUUUAUUUUCUCACAUUUCACGAGACUGAAGUCCAUGAUCAAGGUGUUGGUAAAUUUGCUGUGUAGUGAGAGCUCUUCCUGCCUUGCAGAUGGUUACCUUCUCAUCAAGUUCUCACGCAGCCUUUCCUCUGUGUGCAUGCAAAAGAGAGCUCUCCGGGGUCUCCUCUUCUUUGUAUAGGGACACCAAUCCUAUUGGUUUGGGGCCCCACCCUUGUAACCUCAUUUAACCUUAAUUAUCUCCCUAAAGGCCCUCCAAAUGCAGUCACAUUGUAAGUUAGAGCUUCAACCUAUAAAUUUUGGGGGGGACGCAAUUCAGUCCAUAACAGUGACCAUGGAAGCAGAUCUUCCCUCAAAUCUUUAAGUGAAACCACAGCCCCAGUUGACGACUGGAUUACAGCCUUAUGAGAGAGUUUAAAGCAGAAUACCCAGCUACUGCCAAAGGAGAAGGUUGUCGCAUUCAUUGUAUCUGCUCAUUGUAAAUGCGAGAAAGAGACUCAAAUCUUUAGCUCAGGAACUGCUACCAAGCAUCUGAGGGAGGUAACUUUGGGAGACUGGAAAUGGAGGAAGCCCAAAAGAGUAGCAGAUUUGUUGUGAAGGCAAGUAUCAGUACAUAUGUUUUGUCAAAGAAUAGCAAUAACCAGGUUUUCGUUGUUCUAUGUUUUUAGUUCUCACUUCUGUAAGAUCAAAGUUCACCCAUUUACCAGCAAGAGUUUACUCUGGAGUAAAAGCAGGAAAAUGUCAAAGAAGUGAAAAUGUUUCCAGUCAUCCUGUAUUUUGAAAAUUUCAGGAAGUUGUGGCUGAGAAACAAGGUACCAGACCAAGUUUCGGUACCCUCCCUUUGUAUUCUCCAUUUUCUUGAUCAUAUGACCUUGUGCUGGAUCAUAAAUUAUAUUUCUCCAAUACUUACUUCAUCUCCAGCUUUUCCAGAAAAUGUUCUUCCCGUUUUUCUUCUGACCAUUUCUGGCUUGGGCAUUUACCUUUGCUCUGAGAAGAGGAGACAAUGUCAGAGGUUUUGACGGAUGCCAGGCUCAACAGAAUCUUUUGCCCACUGUGGUCAUGUGUAUCCUGCUCCUGAAUUCCUGUUUUCUCACCAGUUGUUUCAGUGAGUUCUAGAGGAUGACUGCUUUUGGGUCUACAUUCCCUCACCCUGCCUUCCCCCUAAUCACUACCCACAACAAUUAUUUUGAGGUCAAUAGAAUAUGUGUAAUUUAGGGAGUCU